GAUGAACGCUGGCGGCGUGCCUAAUACAUGCAAGUCGAGCGAACGGACGAGAAGCUUGCUUCUCUGAUGUUAGCGGCGGACGGGUGAGUAACACGUGGAUAACCUACCUAUAAGACUGGGAUAACUUCGGGAAACCGGAGCUAAUACCGGAUAAUAUUUUGAACCGCAUGGUUCAAAAGUGAAAGACGGUCUUGCUGUCACUUAUAGAUGGAUCCGCGCUGCAUUAGCUAGUUGGUAAGGUAACGGCUUACCAAGGCAACGAUGCAUAGCCGACCUGAGCGGGUGGUCGGCCACACUGGAACUGAGACACGGUCCAGACUCCUACGGGAGGCAGCGGUAGGGAAUCUUCCGCGAUGGGCGAAAGCCUGACGGAGCAACGCCGCGUGAGUGAUGAAGGUCUUCGGAUCGGAAAACUCUGUUAGUAGGGAAGAACAUAUGUGUAAGUAACUGUGCACAUCUUGACGGUACCUAGUCAGAAAGCCACGGCUAACUACGUG
rnacentral:rRNA from 1 species